GUGAGGUAACGGCUCACCAAGGCUACGACGGGUAGCUGGUCUGAGAGGAUGGCCAGCCACAUUGGGACUGAGACACGGCCCAGACUCCUACGGGAGGCAGCAGUGGGGAAUAUUGCGCAAUGGCCGAAAGGCUGACGCAGCGACGCCGCGUGCGGGAUGAGGGCCCUCGGGUCGUAAACCGCUGUCAGGAGGGACGAAACUCUGACGGUACCUCCAGAGGAAGCACCGGCUAACUCCGUGCCAGCAGCCGCGGUAAUACGGAGGGUGCGAGCGUUGUCCGGAAUCACUGGGCGUAAAGGGCGCGUAGGCGGCACAGUAAGUAGGGGGUGAAAUCUCACGGCUCAACCGUGAAACUGCCUCCUAAACUGCUGAGCUCGAGCACGGUAGAGGCAGAUGGAAUUCCCGGUGUAGCGGUGGAAUGCGCAGAUAUCAGGAGGAACACCAGCGGCGAAGGCGCCGCUCUGGGCCGUAACUGACGCUGAGGAGCGAAAGCAUGGGUAGCAAACAGGAUUAGAUACCCUGGUAGUCCAUGCCGUAAACGUUGGGCACUAGGUGUGGGUCUCAACCAACGAGAUCCGCGCCGUCGCUAACGCAUUAAGUG
rnacentral:rRNA from 1 species